rnacentral:rRNA from 1 species
GAUGAACGCUAGCGGCAGGCUUAAUACAUGCAAGUCGAGGGGCAGCACAGAUAGCAAUAUUGGGUGGCGACCGGCAAACGGGUGCGGAACACGUACACAACCUUCCUUUUAGUGUGGGAUAGCCCAGAGAAAUUUGGAUUAAUACCACCUAGUAUAUUGGAGUGGCAUCACUUUGAUAUUAAAUGUUUAUCGCUAAAAGAUGGGUGUGCGUAUGAUUAGGUAGUUGGUAGGGGUAACGGCUCACCAAGCCUUCGAUCAUUAACUGGUGUGAGAGCACGACCAGUCGCACGGGCACUGAGACACGGGCCCGACUCCUGCGGGAGGCAGCAGUAAGGAAUAUUGGUCAAUGGACGGAAGUCUGAACCAGCCAUGCCGCGUGAAGGAUGACGGCCCUCUGGGUUGUAAACUUCUUUUAUGUGGGACGAAAAAGGGCCAUUUUUGGUCAACUGACGGUACCAUAGGAAUAAGCACUGGCUAACUCCGUGCCAGCCGCCGCAGUAA